AGAGUUUGAUCCUGGCUCAGAAUGAACGCUGGCGGCGUGCCUAACACAUGCAAGUCGAGCGGUAAGGCCCCUUCGGGGGUACACGAGCGGCGAACGGGUGAGUAACGCGUGGGUAACCUGCCCAGAAGUAGGGGAUAGCCCCGGGAAACCGGGGGUAAUACCGCAUGUGCUCUUGCCGACGCGAGUCGGCUUUUGAAAAGGCGGGGAUCCUUCGGGACCUGUCGCUUCUGGAUGGGCCCGCGUCCGAUUAGCUAGUUGGUAGGGUAACGGCCUACCAAGGCGACGAUCGGUAGCCGGCCUGAGAGGGUGAACGGCCACAUUGGGACUGAGACACGGCCCAGACUCCUACGGGAGGCAGCAGUGGGGAAUUUUGGGCAAUGGGCGCAAGCCUGACCCAGCGACGCCGCGUGGAGGGUGAAGGCCUUCGGGUUGUAAACUCCUGUCAGGUGGGAAGAAAUCGCUGCCGGUGAAUACCCGGCAGCGUUGACGGUACCACCAAAGGAAGCCCCGGCUAACUCCGUGCCAGCAGCCGCGGUAAUACGGAGGGGGCAAGCGUUAUUCGGAUUUACUGGGCGUAAAGCGCACGUAGGCGGCAUUGCAAGUCGUAGGUGAAAGCCCUCGGCUCAACCGAGGAAUUGCCUUCGAAACUGCGCUGCUUUGAGUCCGGGAGGGGGGAGCGGAAUUCCCAGUGUAGCGGUGAAAUGCGUAGAUACUGGGAGGAACACCGGUGGCGAAGGCGGCUCCCUGGACCGGUACUGACGCUGAGGUGCGAAAGCGUGGGUAGCAAACAGGAUUAGAUA
rnacentral:rRNA from 1 species